UACGUAGGGUGCAAGCGUUAAUCGGAAUUACUGGGCGUAAAGCGUGCGUAGGCGGUUCGUUAAGUUCGUUGUGAAAGCCCCGGGCUCAACCUGGGAAUGGCAAUGGAAACUGGCGGGCUGGAGUAUGGCAGAGGGGGGUGGAAUUCCGCGUGUAGAGGUGAAAUUCGUAGAUAUUCGGAAGAACACCAGUGGCGAAGGCGGCUCACUGGACCGGUAUUGACGCUGAGGUGCGAAAGCGUGGGGAGCAGACAGG
rnacentral:rRNA from 1 species